rnacentral:sRNA from 1 species
AUUAGUAAUUUCAUAUAGUUAGGCUCUCUUUGUUUGUCCAUACACAUGAUCCAUCCAAAUGGAGAUGAAAAAUAAUGUUUAUUUUUGAUAAUUUAACAAGCAUUUGGAUGGAUCAUCUGGAUGAUACAUCUGAAUGAGUUUCUAAAUUUAGGCAAAUUUAUGAAACUCAUUUGGAUGAAUUUGAUUAAACCAUUUGGAUGGAGAUGGUUCAUCCAAAAAUAACAAAAGACUGAUAUAUCCUCAUUUAUAGUCAUAAUUUAAAU